GUGAGUCAUCGAAUCUUUGAACGCACAUUGCGCCCCUCGGUAGUCCGUUGGGCAUGCCUGUUCGAGCGUCAUUUAAACCUUCAAGCUCAGCUUGGUGUUGGGUGCUUGUCCUCCCCCCGCGGCGGACUCACCUCAAAUGCAUUGGCGGCCGGUAUGUUGGCUUCGAGCGCAGUACAACGCGCCUGGCGUCUUGACGUACUGGUCCUCCAUGAGACUCUUCUCAUCUUGACCUCGGAUCAGGUAGGGAUACCCGCUGAACUUAAGCAUAUCAAUAAGCGGAGGA
rnacentral:misc_RNA from 1 species